rnacentral:lncRNA from 1 species
GGUGGAUGUCGCUGUGAUUCGGCACGCUAUGGAGGGACUCAUGAAAGUGUACACGGGCACAGUGAGCCCCACCGUUUGGGAAAAGGAGACAGUUCUGCUGAUAAUGCUUCCUCCGUAAUGUAAGGCUGCCUACCAUGAGCCGAGUGCAGCGUGGAGUGGAGGAGAUUUGUUGCAGAGCAGUUGAGUCUUCAAAGAAUGUACAUUCUAGAAGCAUGAUGAGAAAACAAAGUCAGCAGAAGGGCAGCUACAAUACAGCAGAGCCUCAAGCAACUCAGCUUCCGGCCCUGGUUGUUUUCAUUUGCUCCUCCUGACUCUGUUUCCCCUUUUCUCAACCCUGCUCUACACCAAGGAGGCCAGUCUGUAAGUACUGCUUGGGGGACACCAUUUCCCGCUGGCUCCAUGUUGUGCAUGGGGACCACCAGAAGGAGACUGAAGAAGUGAACACGGUGAGGUCUGGACAUGGGUCCCCAGCAUCUUCCCUGGUCUCUCCUUUAGACCCUCUAGGCUGUAGCAUUUGGCCUACAGGUACUAGACCUGAUAGCACAGUUAUCUUUGUGGAUUCUUUUACCCUACCCACAUCUUGUAAAGGGUCCCCUUAUUCAUCAGUCCUUAAACUUCUCCCCGUAUGUGAUGUGUGUUUUCUGUAUAUUGCAGGCACCUAACUGUACAGUCCCUCCAUUCCCACAUGAAGUAGAACCUGCGGCUGACCUACAAUAAACCUUUGUUGGCUUAAGUCUCUGAAGUGUGGAGGUUAAUGUGCAGUGAGGCUGUGCUUAAUAUAGCCAUCAACACAGCUGAACCGGUGUGUGAAGGUCUUAAACACCAUCCAAAUCUACAGGAUUGGAGGAAACCAUCCCAAGGGGUAUGGCUUCCUCUAAAAUACAUGGACGAAGGAUAUGUGGCAGUAAUAUCUCUGAAGCCUGGGAAAAGCCAAGACAAGCCUUCUCGAUUUACAGCCCUACUCCACCAUUUGGAAGACUGUUGUUCUUGACCAUGGGCUCAAACACUUUAAUCCUUAUUUUCUCAUUUGUAUAAUAGCAAUAAUAAUAUCACCCACCCAAAGUAAUUUUGUUUAGGAUUAAAUAAGAUAAUUUAUAUGAAAGACUUUUCCUGAAUGUCCAUAUACUCAUUAUCUGUUGGUUGGGGUAAGUAUUGUUUUUGUUAGGAUCUUCAUGUGGGUACAGAUUUUAUUUAAAAUUGUGUUGGUUGUAGGUGGUAUUUUGCCUGCCUAAAUGACAGUCAGUGAUGAGAAAUAUGUAACCAAAAAAUAUUAGAAGGUAAAAUGAAAACUUGGUCAAUGUAAUUGGAGAAGUUUUUUGUUAAAACAGAAUGUACCUAAGUUCAAGAAUCAAAUUACAAGAUUCUUCUUAUAU